ACGACGGGUACGGGUUGUGAGAGCAAGAGCCCGGAGAUGGAUUCUGAGACACGAAUCCAGGCCCUACGGGGUGCAGCAGGCGCGAAAACUUUACAAUGCUGGAAACAGCGAUAAGGGGACCUCGAGUGCCAGGUUACAAAUCUGGCUGUCGUGAUGCCUAAAAAGCAUUGCAUAGCAAGGGCCGGGCAAGACCGGUGCCAGCCGCCGCGGUAACACCGGCGGCUCGAGUGGUAACCGUUAUCAUUGGGUCUAAAGGGUCUGUAGCCGGCCGGAUAAGUCUCUUGGGAAAUCUGGCAGCUUAACUGUCAGGCUUUCAGGAGAUACUGUCUGGCUCGAGGCCGGGAGAGGUGAGAGGUACUUCAGGGGUAGGGGUGAAAUCUUGUGAUCCUUGAAGGACCACCAGUGGCGAAGGCGUCUCACCAGAACGGACCUGACGGCAAGGGACGAAAGCUAGGGGCACGAACCGGAUUAGAUACCCGGGUAGUCCUAGCCGUAAACGAUACUCGCUAGGUGUCGGCCACGGUGCGACCGUUGUCGGUGCCGUAGGGAAGCCGUGAAGCGAGCCACCUGGGAAGUACGGCCGCAAGGCUGAAACUUAA
rnacentral:rRNA from 1 species